GUGGGGAAUAUUGGACAAUGGGCGCAAGCCUGAUCCAGCCAUGCCGCGUGAGUGAUGAAGGCCUUAGGGUUGUAAAGCUCUUUCACCGAUGAAGAUAAUGACGGUAGUCGGAGAAGAAGCCCCGGCUAACUUCGUGCCAGCAGCCGCGGUAAUACGAAGGGGGCUAGCGUUGUUCGGAUUUACUGGGCGUAAAGCGCACGUAGGCGGUUUGUUAAGUCAGAGGUGAAAUCCCGGCGCUCAACUCCGGAACUGCCUUUGAUACUGGCAAGCUAGAGUCCGGAAGAGGUAAGUGGAACUCCUAGUGUAGAGGUGGAAUUCGUAGAUAUUAGGAAGAACACCAGUGGCGAAGGCGGCUUACUGGUCCGGAACUGACGCUGAGGUGCGAAAGCGUGGGGAGCAAACAGGAUUAGAAACCCUUGUAGUCC
rnacentral:rRNA from 1 species